UGGGCAAUCUGCCCUUCACUCUGGGACAAGCCCUGGAAACGGGGUCUAAUACCGGAUAACACUCUGUCCCUCAUGGGACGGGGUUAAAAGCUCCGGCGGUGAAGGAUGAGCCCGCGGCCUAUCAGCUUGUUGGUGGGGUAAUGGCCUACCAAGGCGACGACGGGUAGCCGGCCUGAGAGGGCGACCGGCCACACUGGGACUGAGACACGGCCCAGACUCCUACGGGAGGCAG
rnacentral:rRNA from 1 species